GCCUCGAUCGUCUAGCGGCUAGGAUACAAGCCUGUCACGCUUGUGACACGGGUUCAAAUCCCGUUCGAGGCG
rnacentral:tRNA from 1 species